UCGAGGAUCUUCGGCAAUGGGCGCAAGCCUGACCGAGCGACGCCGCGUGUGCGAUGAAGGCCUUCGGGUUGUAAAGCACUGUCGAGGGGGAGGAAAGCCCGCAAGGGUCUGACCUAUCCCUGGAGGAAGCACGGGCUAAGUUCGUGCCAGCAGCCGCGGUAAGACGAACCGUGCGAACGUUGUUCGGAAUCACUGGGCUUAAAGGGCGCGUAGGCGGGCCAGCAAGUCCGGGGUGAAAGCCCCCGGCUCAACCGGGGAAUAGCCUUGGAUACUGCUGGCCUCGAGGGAGGUAGGGGCAUGUGGAACUUCCGGUGGAGCGGUGAAAUGCGUAGAUAUCGGAAGGAACGCCGGUGGCGAAAGCGACGUGCUGGACCUCUUCUGACGCUGAGGCGCGAAAGCCAGGGGAGCGAACGGGAUUAGAUACCCCCGUAGUCC
rnacentral:rRNA from 1 species